GGAGCAGGAAACAGAUUGUCGCUCUCGGCCCGCAAGAACGACCCGCAGACGAGGCAUUUCUGUCUGUGUGACUCCUUGCAUCUGCUGAAUGGCUCUCCACAACAGAUAAAGGAAAGACAGGGCUUAGUGGGAGGUGAAGACAGAGCCUCUCAAAUUCUACCACCUCUGUGUGAUUCCUGGGUCUGCUACUUCCUACCUGGCUAUUACUCUAUGCCUCAGUUUCUUCAUUUCAAAACUGAGGUAAGUCUAGCAUCCGUCUCACAGCACAGUUAAGAGCUUUAAACAGGAUAAUACCAGUAAAGCUCUUAGCACAGAGCCUGACAUCUACUAAGUACCCAAUAAUCAGGCAAGUGUGCAGCGAACUUGAUCCCUCUUCAAAUGUGACGGG
rnacentral:lncRNA from 1 species